CGACCGGCGCACGGGUGAGUAACGCGUAUGUAAUCUACCUGUAACAGAGGGAUAACCCGGAGAAAUCCGGACUAAUACCUCAUAGCACAUAUUAUUCGCAUGAAUUUUAUGUUAAAGAGACUCGGUUACAGAUGAACAUGCGUUCCAUUAGCUGGUUGGCGGGGUCACGGCCCACCAAGGCAACGAUGGAUAGGGGUUCUGAGAGGAAGGUCCCCCACACUGGUACUGAGACACGGACCAGACUCCUACGGGAGGCAGCAUG
rnacentral:rRNA from 1 species